rnacentral:rRNA from 1 species
GGACUACAGGGGUAUCUAAUCCCGUUCGCUCCCCUGGCUUUCGCGAUUCAGCGUCAGUAUCAGCCCAGUAACCCGCCUUCGCAUCUGGUGUUCCUCCCAAUAUCUACGCAUUUCACCGCUACACUGGGAAUUCCGGUUACCUCUUCUGUACUCUAGUUUGGCAGUAUCAAAUGCAGUUCCCAAGUUGAGCCCGGGGCUUUCACACCUGACUUGCCAGACCGCCUACUCGCGCUUUACGCCCAGUAAUUCCGAACAACGCUUGCCCCCUACGUAUUACCGCGGCUGCUGGCAC